CGAACCGAGCGAACGUUGUUCGGAAUCACUGGGCUUAAAGGGCGCGUAGGCGGGUAUUCAAGUCUAUGGUGAAAUCCGGCAGCUCAACUGUCGAAUUGCCGUGGAUACUGGGUAUCUCGAGGGAGGUAGGGGCGUGCGGAACUAAUGGUGGAGCGGUGAAAUGCGUUGAUAUCAUUAGGAACUCCGGUGGCGAAGGCGGCACGCUGGACCUCUUCUGACGCUGAGGCGCGAAAGCCAGGGGAGCAAACGGGAUUAGAUACCCCGGUAGUCCUGGCCCUAAACGUUGGGUACUAGAUAGUAGCCUUCACAUGGGGUUACUGUCGAAGCAAAAGUGCUAAGUACCCCGCCUGGGGAGUAUGGUCGCAAGGCUG
rnacentral:rRNA from 1 species